GGGCGGGUUGCGCCGCGGGCGCAGACCGCAACUAGCUGGAGCGCCACGUUGACAUCGUGGAGGUCAGAGGUUCGAGUCCCCUCGCGCCCACCA
rnacentral:tRNA from 1 species